rnacentral:tmRNA from 1 species
GGGGAUGUUCUGGUUUUGACAGCAUCGAUGCUGGACGGUAAGCACGUCGGGCUCUUCCGCGGUCGGCCCGUUAAUCCUGGUCACGGAAAAUUUAGUUGCCAAUAACAACUACGCACUCGCUGCCUAAUCUGAUCUCAGAUCAAUUAGCUUAAUCCGAGCCGCCUAGGUUGCGGUUCCGACGAGUAUCCCGCGGACUUCAAUCCUUCUCUGUCCGAGUUCGGGGUAUCAUUCAGGAAGGACGCUCCGGUGGACUCCUUUCAAGCCGGCUAAGAUUCAAAGGAUACGCCUCGGGUGGCCCGUCUUCCGGCAGCCCCCGGCCGACAACCAAAGGAAGAAUAAACGUGUAGAAAGCUGUUUGGUACGUUGUUUGGACGGCGGUUCGACUCCGCCCAUCUCCACAA